rnacentral:rRNA from 1 species
UACGGGGGGGGCAAGCGUUGUUCGGAAUUACUGGGCGUAAAGGGCUCGUAGGUGGCCAACUAAGUCAUACGUGAAAUCCCUCGGCUUAACCGGGGAACUGCGUCUGAUACUGGAUGGCUUGAGGUUGGGAGAGGGAUGCGGAACUCCAGGUGUAGCGGUGAAAUGCGUAGAUAUCUGGAGGAACACCGGUGGCGAAGGCGGCAUCCUGGACCAAUUCUGACACUGAGGAGCGAAAGCCAGGGGAGCAAACGGG